rnacentral:rRNA from 1 species
AGGGUGUAAACGCUGCAGACUUGGUGUUGGAGGCCCUUUGGGGGCAUUCAGUGCCGGAGAGAAGUUGUUAAGUCUGCUACUUGGGAGUACGUCCGCAAGGAUGAAACUUAAAGGAAUUGGCGGGGGAGCACCGCAACGGGAGGAGCGUGCGGUUUAAUUGGAUUCAACACCGUAAACUCACCAGGGAAGACUGUUACAUGAAAGCCGAGAUGAAGACUCUGCUAGAUUUUCAGAGAGGUGGUGCAUGGCGUCAGUGACU